CCUUGUACACACCGCCCGUCACACCAUGGGAGUUGGUUUUACCUGAAGCCGGUGCGCUAACCCGACAAGGGAGGCAGCCGACCACGGUAGGGUCAGCGACUGGGGUG
rnacentral:rRNA from 1 species